CCCUUUGAAAAGGAAAGAAAUCUGUCAUUUGCAGCAUAGAUCAGGCUGGAGGAUAUUACACCAAGGGAAAUAAACCAGGCACAGAAACACAGCUACCUCUGUCCUCACCCAAGAAUGGGAUUUAAAGCAACUGAACUCAGAGCAGAGCAGAAUGGCAGGAUAGGGGCUGGGGAAAUGGAGACUAAAGGGUGCGGGCCUUGGAUAGGAGGCGAAGUGGGAUUGCUUGUUUGGAGAUCUGUUGCAUAGUGUGAUGAACACACCACAAGAUGUGUGGCUGAGCACCAGGCUUCAGUGUGGCUGGAGCGUGGAUCUCCAAUGUUCUCAUUGCAAAAGACAUCAAUGUGUGAAGUGAUGGGUGAGUGGGCUUGGUUUGAUUGAUCAUCCCACAUAGUAUUUAAAGAACAAUCACUUCUCUUUGCAAUUCAUAAAUAAAUACAGCUAUAAUGUGUCAACAUACAAUUUUUUAAAGUGGGAAAACAAAGAGUAGGGUUGAUAACUUUUAAUUUUUAUUAAAGAAAAAAAACCUAUCAUCUCCCAUUACUAUCAUCUCAAGAACUAAGAUAAAUACACAUUAAUCCCAAACCAGUAGAGAGAGCAUAAAAACAGCAGCCAACAGGGCGGAGGGCUGCAGGAUGCCCAGGUGGGUCAGAGGAAUUAGUGUUCGCGUCCCAGUGAAAGUGUGAGCUGAGGAGACAGUCAGCUAUGGUCCAGGUGAUGGUAUAACCCUUCCGGCAUCUUCUGAGGGUGCUGGGACUUAAUCCUAAGAUAUUAAAGGUUUACUGUGGACUAGAAAAGAAUUAUGCACUCUUUUCAUGAUGCCAAGAACAGCUCUGUGUGGGUCUGUAAAUCACUUCAUAUUUUUAAAGCUGCUGUUUAAUAGUUUACUUUAUUUAAAUCCCACAACAGCAAUGAAGUAAAUUUGAUCAUCCCAUUUCCCACUUUCCAUCUGACACUCAAGGCCCCAAAUGAAUCCCUGUUGAAUCUUUAAAAAUCCAGGCAUUGUCAAUAGUCAAUUAGCAAAUCGCUCCUGAUCUGAACCACCCAAUACCUGAUCAAGGGAAUCCAGAUUUUAAAGAUCAGGGUUGCUACAAAACUUCUUAAAAGUGUCUAAAGUAUCUUCCAACCAAAUAAACAUUGAUUCCAAAUAAAAUAUUCCAGAAGCAGAGAGUGGGCGUGGUAGAAGUUAAUUCUGGAGAAGAACACGCCUAAGACAGCCAGGAGCGAACCCAUGAGAGAGGGGAUCAUCCCCGGGCUGUGUCUGAAUCUUGCAAGAGCCAGAGCCUGAAGUAGGGUUAGGUUGCUGACACGUUUCUGGGAGGAGGGGAGGGAGAUGGGGUGAGGUAAUGCAGGGCAGCCGGCUUCAUAAGAAGCCUGAGUCACAGCAGGUGACUCAGGAGCUGUUCCCUGGACACCGGGGAUUUCUCAGGAGGGGCUGGAGGAGGGACCAACCCUCUCAGAGGUCCACGGAAGGGGCUCCCUCCGACAGCGCCGCUGCCACGGGUGCAGUGUCACCACCGGGAGCUCACGACCCCACCCUUCCCAGCCGCCGCCCCUCGAGUCAGGUUCCACAUCCUGAGAUGCGGAGUUUUGUCCAAGGUGGAAAAUGGAAUGAUUGGGAGAGGGUGAAAAGAAGACAGGUUCCUGAGAGAUUUCCAGGGGAUCAUGGGCUGACACCGGGACAGACGCUGGGACAGAUGUGACACCCUGCUCCUGUACUUCAAGCCUCCAGAACUGAGAAAGAAUAAAUUUCUGUUUUUAUGAGUCACUCA